CGUAGCGCAGAGGUUAGCGCGUGCGCCUAUAAAGCGGAGCGCCUGGGUUCGAAUCCUGGCG
rnacentral:tRNA from 1 species